UACGUAGGGACCGAGCGUUGUCCGGAUUCAUUGGGCGUAAAGAGCUCGUAGGCGGCUGCUCAAGUCGAAUGUGAAAACUCGAGGCUCAACCUCGAGCCUGCAUUCGAUACUGGGCGGCUAGAGUCUGGUAGGGGGAUCUGGAAUUCCUGGUGUAGCGGUGGAAAUGCGCAGAUAUCAGGAGGAACACCGGUGGCGAAGGCGGGUCUCUGGGCCGAUACUGACGCUGAGGAG
rnacentral:rRNA from 1 species